CAGAAGAUUGAUGGAAACUGAGGUUUGGUUAAUUUUCCUUAAACUUGACCAUGUUCACUUCCAGAUGUGAGAGCAAUUUAGGAGGACAUGUGCCAGAUGUUGCUCCUAAUUUGAACGAGAGACUCAAAGUUACCUCUCAGAAGAUCUCUGCUUUACAAAAGGCCACAGAGUCCUACAAAGAAGAUCUGCAGAAAGCUCUGAUCGAGGCUGUUUGGGAGCAAACCGCCAACACAGAUUGUUCCAUUCAAGCCCCAAAGAAAG